rnacentral:rRNA from 1 species
AGUGAACGCUGGCGGUAGGCCUAACACAUGCAAGUCGAACGGCAGCACAGUAAGAGCUUGCUCUUCCGGGUGGCGAGUGGCGGACGGGUGAGGAAUAUAACGGACUCUACUUUUUCGUGGGGGUUAACGUAGGGAAACUUACGCUAAUACCGCAUCCGACCUACGGGUGAAAGCAGGGGAUCUUUGGACCUUGCGCGAUUGAACGAGCCGAUGUCGGAUUAGCUAGUUGGCGGGGUAAAGGCCCACGCAGGCGACGAUCCGUAGCUGGUCUGAGAGGAUGAUCGGCCACACUGGAACUGGGACACGGUCCAGACUACUACGGGAGGCAGCAGUGGGGAAUAUUGGACAAUGGGCGCAAGCCUGGUCCAGCCAUACCGAGUGGGUGACGAAGGCCUUCGGGUUGUAAAGCCGUUUUGUUGGGAAAGAAAAGCAGCAGGUUAAUACCCCGCUGUUCUGACGGUACCCAAAGAAUAAGCACCGGCUAACUUCGUG